AUUAACUGUAGAUUUCAUUGAUUCCGAAAUGUAAUUUACAAGAACUAUGAAUGUUCAGACAGAUACAUUAAACGGUGAAAGAAAUAUACAACUCAUAUAUACAACUUAAUGCCUCGUUUAGAUGCAAGCUUUUUCCACCAAUCUUUAGGUGAGUUGUCCUUUAAGAGCACCAGCAGCCCUUUCAAUGGCUCUGGCAACUCUCCAUAUCUCAUGCUGAAUGGCUGCCUGACCAUCCUGUCGACCAAUGUUCUUGGAUCGAGAAAUAGCAUCUGCUAUACUGGGGAAGAACUCUAGUUUACUUUCAUAGUCACCCGGUGGCCCGUAAAUCUACAAAUGAUGCAAACCGAGUUAUAUGUAGUACUAAUUUAUGUACAUAUACUACGCUAAAUCUACAGAUGAUUGACAAUUUUUUUCUACAGAAUAAUUUUAUUUAUCAAGCGCGAUACGGUAUUCUUUGAUCAAAUAGAGGUGAUAUGUCUCAUUUGAGCUUCAUGUAGUGAUAUUCAACAAAACAAAUAUUCCAAUGGUCAUAUCAUCAACUAGAAAGGAUUUUUUAAGGCUUUGGCUACAGUUCACUGCCCCUUUCUUGGUCACUAAUUCUAUUCCAUUUUGACAACCCAUCAAUAGGACUCUAGCUUACACCAUUCAUGAAUUGCUCAAGUGUCGGCUUGGAGAAAACUCAUUUGAUAAGCUUAAUUUUAAGCUUGAACAGAGCUCAAGCGGAGCACAACUCAUUUAAAGUCCUGCCGUUAGUUCUAGUAAUUAGCUAAAGGCAAAUGCACUUACGAGAUGUUUAAACCAAUUCCUUCCUUGCAGCCCAUCUGCAUCUAAGAAGCCUCUUUCAGCAAGCAUCAAGCGAUCGUUUAAUCCACGUAACUUCAAGGCUACAAACUCACCCCUACUUUCUUGCCAUCUAAGUUGCUACACUCAAAAAGGCAAAUGCCCCAGAAUUAAAUAAGAGCAAGAAAAAGCAAUUAACGCAAAUGGGCAGAGCAAAUCACUCCAAAUGUUAACCUCAAUGUUGAACUUGAACAUACUCCAAAUAAAAAUUUAAAAAUGAUCUUAAAAUAAAAGCUAUUUGAAUAAAAACUCAAAUAAAAAAUUAUCAGUAUUUAGAUUCCUUGUGAUUCCUGAACCAAACGGAAAAAAUAUAUAUUUUUCAAGAAUUGCAUUCCUAGCUCAAAAUGGAAUGAAGUAGAGGCGGAAAAAAUUAACUGUAGAUUUCAUUGAUUCCGAAAUGUAAUUUACAAGAACUAUGAAUGUUCAGACAGAUACAUUAAACGGUGAAAGAAAUAUACAACUCAUAUAUACAACUUAAUGCCUCGUUUAGAUGCAAGCUUUUUCCACCAAUCUUUAGGUGAGUUGUCCUUUAAGAGCACCAGCAGCCCUUUCAAUGGCUCUGGCAACUCUCCAUAUCUCAUGCUGAAUGGCUGCCUGACCAUCCUGUCGACCAAUGUUCUUGGAUCGAGAAAUAGCAUCUGCUAUACUGGGGAAGAACUCUAGUUU
rnacentral:lncRNA from 1 species